rfam:Ornithorhynchus anatinus chromosome 6, whole genome shotgun sequence.
AGCAGCGUGGCUCAGUGGAAAGAGCCCGGGCUUGGGAGUCAGAGAUCAUGGGUUCGAAUCCCGGCUCUGCCA